UCAACAUUUUGACCGUCGGUCUACCGAGCAAAUAUCAACGGCUCGGUGGAAGAUCAUCCCCUCGUUGU
rnacentral:pre_miRNA from 1 species